UACGAACCAUGCAAACGUUGUUCGGAAUCACUGGGCUUAAAGGGCGCGUAGGCGGUCGAUCAAGUCCGGAGUGAAAUCUUUCGGCUCAACCUGAAAAGUGCUUUGGAUACUGAUCGGCUGGAAGGGGCUAGGGGUUGCGGGAACAGCCAGUGGAGCGGUGAAAUGCGUUGAUAUUGGCUGGAACGCCGGUGGCGAAAGCGCGCAACUGGACCCCUCUUGACGCUGAGGCGCGAAAGCCAGGGUAGCGAACGGG
rnacentral:misc_RNA from 1 species